UGGUGUGUGUGUGUGUGUGUGUGUGUGUGUGUGUGUGUGUGUGUGUGUGUGUGCACUUAUCCAAAUUUCUCAGCAGAGUAAAGACUACCAUAUGAACUGCUCAUCACAGCUUCGUCAUUGCAAUUCUUUCCAAGAUCCAUAUUUCUGAGUAUGGAUACUGGGAGAUCUCACUUCUGGUUCUUACUUGCCAUGUCCAUUUUUCUUCAGAUCAUCAAUUUCUCAUUGUCUCUACUCAGGACACUAGGCUUUUCCUGACCAACUUAGCCAGUCUGUUCUUCAUCUUUUUUUCCAUGCCUUCACUGUUCUUUUAAUGUUCUUAUUAUUAAUAAAUUAUCUCAUUCAUGGACACCAAUUCUUAUUGCCCCCUUUCAGCCCAACUGAACUGUGAGCUACUGGAAUGAUUCAUAUUGCUCUCAAUUGUAUUCCCAAACCUGGUGAGAAAUCACCAUUCUAGUUACAAUUCACUAAACUUGUUCCCAUUCACCAGUUUAACCUUAAUGAAGAUAUACAUUGUGAGCAAUCUUAGCAAAUGACAUAAUAGCUUCAAGUGUGCCACCAUUUGAUAGUAGAGUAAUGGUCAAUAGGAAAACCACCAUUGUGUCCCCAGAGCAGUACAGACUAUGUCUAACCCAUGUAGUAGGCUGCACCAGGAGGUCACACACUGCAAAGUCUCUUGAGAAACUAUGAAAAUGAGGUAGCAGAGUUUCCUUCAUCUGUAUGGCUACUGCUGAUAGUGGCUAUGCACACAGGAAUACAGUACCCCUGGGAUCUUUGGCAAGCAACUGGGUCAUAUGAAAGACCCUUCUGUGUCGCCUUUCCUGAGUGUCAAUCUUUAAUUUAGAAGAAAAGAAAAUUACAGCUCUUUUAUUCAUCUGUAUUAAAAUUUAUGGAGCAGGGUGGUUUCCAGGCUGCUGUUUCUGCCGGGCACUGCUCUGAUGAUGUAUGCCUGUGACAUGUCACCAGCCUAGCUGGGCUCUGAUGAUCCAUUGCAGCAACAAGUCAUUUGUCAUACAUCACUCCCUGGACAGCUGCCCCGAUCUGAGCCUCUACUGCGUAUUCCUGCAGGGAGCCCUGGCUCAAAACAAGUUCCAUGUUCUUGUACUCCCACGGGCUUCUCUUUACCCCUGUAUUUCUUACUGUUUGUAGGAGAAAUGAAAAAUAAUGGUUAAUAGCAAAUUCCGGUGGGGUAUUUUCAGACUUUGAAUGCUCUGAGGCCCACCAGUGAUGAUAAUGGUUGGAGGGUGCCUGAAUGGUCUCAGAAUAUCUCAGGGCUAUAAGAAGUCACCCUUAGCCAGGCAUUCUUCAGAAGGGUUUGCAUGUUUUACUAUUAAAUCCACCAUGAGUCCUGUAAGGGGGAUUAUAUUCCUUAUCACUUUAAAGAUGAAGGGAAACAUGGCACAGAAAGGCUUGUUUCUCAUUUUCACCUAGAUAAGUCAGAAGAAGCAGGGCCCCGGCCCAGGAAGCUGGGAUUGGAAGCAUUCCUUCUUACUGUUUCUUACAUAAUCUUUUCUGGUUCUUCUCAUAGGCAGAGGCAUCAAGUGACAUGCUGGCUCCUAAGACCAACCAAAUAUUCAGAUAUGCUUCAGAUAUCCUAUUCAAUAAUCAGAAUGUAUGUUAGCGAUUAUUACUAUUAGUCACUCAAAUUCUCUGGUGCCUAUCAAGUGCAUCACUAGUGCUUUCAAAAGUGUUCUGGCUUCAACAGGGUGUGACUCUCUUUGCUUUGUUUCAAAUAAAUGCAUGGAAAGAUGCUGCAGCAUUUUUGUUCUUGAUUGAAAAGAGCAUAGAGCAGAGAGACUCAAUAAGAGGACAGCUAUAAGUUGAAAAUUCAAUAGGUGAUGCAGAAUCAUUUUUCAAGAAAAGCUGAGUGCACUUAAAAUAAGUGAAUCCAGAAUCUACAGAAAUGUCACUCUGUCAGGAUAAAGAGUGUCUUUUGUUCCAAUAAAAAGUACAAAUAAAGAAUCUUUGAAACGUAAAUCAGGAGGCUGGAGAACACAGAUAGUACCUGACAGUAACAGCCAUCUAUGAAACAAUGCUGUUUGAGGAGUUGAAAAGAUGCUGAUUUAAAUAACUUUGAAAGAAAGUUGAACCUUCAAGGCUUGGACAAGGUAACAGAAAGCCUAGAAACUACUAGCUGGAUAUGUCAGAUUACAUCAUAAAGUAGAAAAGGAAAGCUAGGAGAGCAAACUGCAAUGAUUUACUAAACAAAUAAAUGUUGAAGGAUACCAUUCAACGAUAUCAAAGAUGCAGCACUUAGUCCUUGAGAUCAUGGUCUGUAACUAUCCACCCUUUGAGAGGUUUUGCUUUGUUUUCUUUUUUGUUUGUUUAUAUUUGUAUUUUGUUUUCUGUAGGUUACAAUAGAGACUGAGGGGAAAGGAGCAACUUCAUCAUAGAGAAAUUGGAUAACACAGCCUACCUGUGGUGCUUUAAGUUAACAUCAACAAUGAUGAGCAUUGCUUUCAGAAAGUGCUCUUAAUAUGGCAAAUGGUACAGGAGGAUAAAAAUCAAACCCAAAACAAA